UUCCUUCUUCUUGUCACUCAUCACUGCAAGCAUAGAGCACGAAUGAUCUCCCUCCCACCCAACGGUCGCUCCACCCAUUGAAGCAAAGACUAGCUCCCUUUCAUCAUCUGACAAGUGAUGUCAUGUCUUGGGCAACACUGUAACCUGGGAAAACAAGUGAUAAGUAAUUUUGUAUGCUGUUAAAAAUGAACAUUGGGGCAAAAAUCACAGAAGAAUUGCAAGACCACCAUCAACCAUAGGCCCUGGAUUCAAUCCUCUUCCUGAGCUGCAUCAUAACCCCAGGACCAAGGAAGCACCCGGGCCCAAUGUUUCAAUGUAAAUCGCUGAGCUGUAGAUUAAGAGCACUUUCUCACUCUAGAAACACG